UACAUGGGGUGCAACGUUGCUCGGAAUUAUUGGGCGUAAAGCGCACGUAGGCGGUUUGUUAAGUCGGAUGUGAAAUCCCUCGGCUCAACUGGAGGAAGUGCAGUCCGAAACUGGCAUGGCUUGAGUACUAAAGAGGGUCGCGGAAUUCCGGUGUAGAGGUGAAAUUCGUAGAUAUCGGGAGGAACACCGGUGGCGAAGGCGGCGACCUGGGUAGAUACUGACGCUGAGGUGCGAAAGCGUGGGGAGCAAACAGGG
rnacentral:rRNA from 1 species